UUUUUUUUUAUUUUUGUUUUUUUUAACUGUUAGAUGUAAAAUUUCCAAGGAGCUGGCUAACAGGAUGAUGCACGUUGUCACACUGGAAAACAAGAAGCCAAGGGCCUGACCCGUGCGCGGGAGAUGACUUCUGCUGGGAUUUAUCAUUCGCACGCCUGUCUGCAGAGCGGCUGGCUGGGCCCUCUCUGCUCCGGGGGCUCUCAGCCCCGCUACAGGUCUGGCUGCAGUCCCCAGGCAGGGUGCCGGCCCCUCCAGGAGGAGAUCAGCACUCAGGGACUUUCUCCAGGGACAGCAAGACACAAACCCCAGAAUAAAACUCCUUCCAGCUCCACUCCCUGACAGGAUCCUGAACAAAAGGCGAAGUGUCACAACAUCACUGGGCUGGAUUCCACAGGGCUCCUUGGAUCUGCCUUUCCAUUGGGUCAGGUUUAAUUUGCCCAGAGUGCAGUAUUAAUAGGAUGUAAGCUGCGCCCUUGAACAAUUACCUUAUCAAAGCAUAACAUCUAUGGAAUGAGCAAAGUAU